UUGAACGCUGGCGGUAUGCCUAACACAUGCAAGUCGAACGAGGUAGCAAUACCUAGUGGCGAACGGGUGAGUAACACGUGGGUGAUCUGCCCUGCACUCUGGGAUAAGCCUGGGAAACUGGGUCUAAUACUGGAUAUGACUACAGCAUGCAUGUGUUGUGGUGGAAAGAUUUAUCAGUGCAAGAUGGGCCCGCGGCCUAUCAGCUUGUUGGUGGGGUAAUGGCCUACCAAGGCGACGACGGGUAGCCGACCUGAGAGGGUGACCGGCCACACUGGGACCGAGACACGGCCCAGACUCCUACGGGAGGCAGCAGUGGGGAAUAUUGCACAAUGGGCGGAAGCCUGAUGCAGCGACGCCGCGUGAGGGAUGAAGGCCUUCGGGUUGUAAACCUCUUUCAGCAGGGACGAAGCGUGAGUGACGGUACCUGCAGAAGAAGCACCGGCUAACUACGU
rnacentral:rRNA from 1 species